GACGAACGCUGGCGGCAUGCUUAACACAUGCAAGUCGAACGGAAAGGCCCUGCUUUUGUGGGGUGCUCGAGUGGCGAACGGGUGAGUAACACGUGAGUAACCUGCCCUUGACUUUGGGAUAACUUCAGGAAACUGGGGCUAAUACCGGAUAGGAGCUCCUGCUGCAUGGUGGGGGUUGGAAAGUUUCGGCGGUUGGGGAUGGACUCGCGGCUUAUCAGCUUGUUGGUGGGGUAGUGGCUUACCAAGGCUUUGACGGGUAGCCAGCCUGAGAGGGUGACCGGCCACAUUGGGACUGAGAUACGGCCCAGACUCCUACGGGAGGCAGCAGUGGGGAAUAUUGCACAAUGGGCGGAAGCCUGAUGCAGCAACGCCGCGUGCGGGAUGACGGCCUUCGGGUUGUAAACCGCUUUCGCCUGUGACGAAGCGUGAGUGACGGUAAUGGGUAAAGAAGCACCGGCUAACUACGUG
rnacentral:rRNA from 1 species